rnacentral:rRNA from 1 species
AUACGGAGGAUGCGAGCGUUAUCCGGAUUUAUUGGGUUUAAAGGGAGCGUAGGUGGGAUAUUCAGUCAGCUGUGAAAGUUUGGGGCUCAACCUUAGAAUUGCAGUUGAUACUGGUUUCCUUGAGUACGGUAUAGGUGGGCGGAAUUCGUGGUGUAGCGGUGAAAUGCUUAGAUAUCACGAAGAACUCCGAUCGCGAAGGCAGCUCACCGGGCCGAAACUGACACUGAUGCUCGAAAGUGCGGGUAUCAAACAGGAUUAGAUACCCUGGUAGUCCGCACAGUAAACGAUGAAUACUCGCUGUUUGCGACACACUGUAAGCGGCCAAGCGAAAGCGUUAAGUAUUCCACCUGGGGAGUACGCCGGCAACGGUGAAACUCAAAUGAAUUGACGGGG